CAAACAGCAGAGUCACAGAACGAUCAAAAUAGGAAGCCCAGAGCCCACAAGGGGAACUGCGGGCAGACAGGAACUCUGCCCUCCCCCUCAGUGUAUGCCUGUCCUCCCACAGCCUGCUGGGCCUCAGAGUGGCUGAUGGCAUCCCGACUCUCAGCUUCGACUGAGGCCGAGCAGACGUCCCAGUUCCAGGUUUCCGGGCCACACUCCUCCAACCACGGCCAUACCUUUCACACGAGAAACACAGAGAGGCUGGGAAUUCAGUGGACUUGGGGAUUCUGUAACCCGCACCGAUAAACUUGUGUUUAAUUUUCACCACGAGGAACCCUUGCAGUCUUCAGAGCCGUCCUUACCGCCGUGACAGUACAGCAGCCACGCCGGCUCCUCAGGGCUUCCCGCAGGUGGCCCUUCAUCCCCGUUCACUGCGGGUGACAGCCUGACGAAGGAAGAGGUCCCCGCAGACCACGGGUGCUACGUAGGCGCCCAGUUCCCAUUGGCAGGGAGCCCGAGCCCUGCCCUGGGGCCCAAGGGCGCGACCACACCCAUCCCCACAUCCCCACUUGGCGGGCCCCUCUUCUGAGACCACUCCCAGGUCCGACUCUGUAGCAGUCGGGCAGGAGAAGGAGACGAGAAAUAGACACGGUUUCUCAGCAGACGAAAUCGAAUACGAGCAUUUGGUGGCUCAGGGCCCGGAGGGCUGAAGAAACAGAUCGUAUGGCAGAAAGCUGCCGUCCCUAAGGCGAGGGGAAGCGGGGAAGAGGUCGGGCUGAGCAGACACCUAGACGCCAGGAUGAGGGGCCUGGAAGAGGCAGAGCCUGGAUCUCUGAGGAGGGGCUGCCACAAUUUCUCAGGGAAGGCGGAAGCAACCUUAUCCACCACGAGGGGAUAUGGGGCAGGAGAUGAUUUCUGAGGACCAUCUUCCAGGCCAUUGAAGACUUGGGGAGGUGGAGUAGCUUUCUAUCACAAUAACGCAAACAACGCGUAGAUAUCCACGAGCGCCGCUCUCUGAUCUCCUGAGAAAUCAAAGGUAAUGCCAGUCUGGGUUUUAAAGUCCCCCCCCCGCCCCACCCCACCCCACCCCACCCCAGUUAAGCACAAGAGGGGAAGGCGGCUCUCUUUCUCACCCUGCCCCCUUUGCUGUGUGCUGGCCCGAGGAGGCUUCCGUGGGGGGUGGCCACCUGGGCUCACCUC